UCUCUGGUAGGAUAAUUGGUUAGAGCAUCUGCCUCAAAUGCAGGAGGUCACAGGUUUGAAUCCUGGCUGAGUCAUACCAAAGAC